GAACAACUCAAUUGCAGAAUUGAAAUUGUGGAAAAUAAAACUUGAGCGAAUAAACAAUAUUCCGAAAACUGCAAUUGAAGCAUUACAUGUACGCAUGAAAGAAUGUGUUCCAGUCUUUAUAAGGAUAAAAACGUAUCUUCGAUACAGUAUGUCCGAGAAAAGACUUAAUGGUCUGGCAAUGUUGGCAAUUCAUAAUGAUAUUACAUUUUCAAAUGAAGAGGUCAUUAAAGAACUUGCCAAAAAGCCUAG